UUUCGCAAUGCCCGAAAGGGUGACGAAGCGACGCCGCGUGUGGGAAGAAGGCCUUCGGGUUGUAAACCACUGUCGGGAGUUAGGAAAUGUAAGGGUGUUAAUAGUAUCCUUACUUGACUAAGGCUCCGGAGGAAGCCACGGCUAACUCUGUGCCAGCAGCCGCGGUAAUACAGAGGCGGCAAGCGUUGUUCGGAAUUAUUGGGCGUAAAGAGCACGUAGGCGGCUAUGUAAGUCGGUUGUGAAAGCCUUCCGCUCAACGGGAGAACAGCAUCCGAUACUGCAUGGCUUGAGUGCGGGAGGGGAGAGUGGAACUUCUGGUGGAGCGGUGAAAUGCGUAGAUAUCAGAAGGAACGCCGGCGGCGAAAGCGGCUCUCA
rnacentral:rRNA from 1 species